GAGAGGUGCUGCAUGGCUGUCGUCAGCUCGUGUUGUGAAAUGUUGGGUUAAGUCUCGCAACGAGCGCAACCCCUAUCGUCUGUUGUCAGCAUUAAGUUGGGCACUCUGACGAGACUGCCUGGGUUAACCAGGAGGAAGGUGGGGAUGACGUCAAGUCCUCAUGGCCCUUAUGUCUAGGGCUACACGCGUAAUACAAUGGCGCGUACAAAGGGAAGCGAACUCGCAAGGGGGAGCAAAUCCCAAAAAGCGCGUCUCAGUCCGGAUUGGAGUCUGCAACUCGACUCCAUGAAGUUGGAAUCGCUAGUA
rnacentral:rRNA from 1 species